GCGUCUUCGAAGGCGGCGGAGCCCGGCUGCCUCAGAGGGUUCCCGAGGCCCGUCGAGCCCGCGGAGGUUAAGUCCGCCGGCUGACGCCUCAGCCUUCGCCCCGCGCGCCGGUCUCGGGCUUCACGGAAAUGAAAACAAGCCAAGAGUAAAACAAAACCAGUACAAAUCCCCAAGCCAAAACAGCUACAAUCAAAUUCAAGGAAAGCAAAGGGUGAUUCCUGGAAACCUCUGGAAGCAAGCUGCUGCUGUUUGUUUUAUACCCUGGGCCGUUUGACUUGGAACAUUUCUGAAGUUGUUCAGUUCCUGCACAUCUAAAUGAACGGCUGUUUCUGGGUACAGUUACCUUCUCAACUUACAUGCUUCGAUGAAGCAAGCUGCCCUGUUGGAAACGGUCAUGUCACAAGGAACUGAGGGAGGCCUCAGGAGGAGCUGAGGUCCAGUCCAACAUCCUGCAAGGAACUGAAUCUUCCCCACAACCACACGAGCUUUGAAGUGGAUGCUUCCUGACUGGAGACUCCCAGCCCUGGCCGACGCCUUGAUUACAGCCUUGUGGGGAGACCCUGAAGCAGAGGACCCAGCUAAGCCACACCAGACUCUUGACCCUCAGAAAUCAAGAGAUUGCCGGAGACUGUCCAUGAAAUCGUCUUCAUCCUUUGCGCUACCCUCUGACCUGCUCUAGUGUAAGGCCAUUCUUGGUGGGCGGGAGCGGAGGGGACAGUUAAAACCCUAAAUACC